GAUGUCGUGGCCGAGUGGUCUAAGGCGCUGGAUUAAGGUUUCCCUUUCCAAGAUGUUAAAUCUCCAGUCUGUUCGCAGGCGUGGGUUCAAAUCCCACCGACAUCA
rnacentral:tRNA from 1 species